GAUGAACGCUGGCGGCGUGCCUAAUACAUGCAAGUCGAGCGAACAGAUAAGGAGCUUGUUCCUUUGACGUUAGCGGCGGACGGGUGAGUAACACGUGGGUAACCUACCUAUAAGACUGGGAUAACUUCGGGAAACCGGAGCUAAUACCGGAUAAUAUUUCGAACCGCAUGGUUCGAUAGUGAAAGAUGGUUUUGCUAUCACUUAUAGAUGGACCCGCGCCGUAUUAGCUAGUUGGUAAGGUAACGGCUUACCAAGGCGACGAUACGUAGCCGACCUGAGAGGGUGAUCGGCCACACUGGAACUGAGACACGGUCCAGACUCCUACGGGAGGCAGCAGUAGGGAAUCUUCCGCAAUGGGCGAAAUCCUGACGGAGCAACGCCGCGUGAGUGAUGAAGGUCUUCGGAUCGUAAAACUCUGUUAUUAGGGAAGAACAUACGUGUAGGUAACUGUGCACGUCUUGACGGUACCUAAUCAGAAAGCCACGGCUAACUACGUG
rnacentral:rRNA from 1 species